CAUCGAAGAGGAUGGCCAAAUUGUGGUAUGUGCCCACUGUGCAACCAAGUUCAAGAAUCAUCUGCACAUCUGCUAUCCCAAUGUCGAUAUUUGGUUGUGAUUUGGAAUGCAGUUAAGGCAAGGAUUGGUCCGGGCGACAUCGUGACCGGAGAUUGGGCAGUAAGGAACAGUAUCAAAGAUUGGUGGACCGAGCUUACCCACGCGCGCUCGCCCGAUAGAAAAGGAAUGGCCUCCUUACCUAUGCUUAUUUCUUGGGAACUUUGGAAGGAGAGGAAUGCUAGAAUCUUUUGGAAUGUCUCUACACCUUCAGUGAUAAUCGUGGACAAGAUCCUGGAUGAAGCAAGAUUGUGGGUGUUGGCAGGUGCCAAAGGUCUUGAUGUAAUUUUACCCCGCAAGUAG
rnacentral:rRNA from 1 species